UUCCUGGUGGCUCAGUGGUAAAGAGUCUGCCUGCCAUGCAGGAGACCCAGGUUCAAUCCCUGGGUUGGGAA
rnacentral:tRNA from 1 species